rnacentral:rRNA from 1 species
AGCAGCCGCGGUAAUUCCAGCUCCAAUAGCGUAUAUUAAAGUUGUUGCAGUUAAAAAGCUCGUAGUUGAAUUUCGGGGUUAGUAGGUUGGUCGUGCCACUGGUACGUACUGGUCUCACUGAUUCCUCCUUCCUGAUGAACUGUAAUGCCAUUAAUUUGGUGUUGCAGGGAAACUGGACUGUUACUUUGAAAAAAGUUAGAGUGUUUAAAGCAAGCUAACGCUUGAAUACAUUAGCAUGGAAUAAUGAAAUAGGACGUUCGAUCCUAUUUUGUUGGUUUCUAGGAUUGACGUAAUGAUUAAUAGGGAUAGUUGGGGGCAUUAGUAUUCAAUUGUCAGAGGUGAAAUUCUUGGAUUUAUUGAAGACUAACUACUGCGAAAGCAUUUUGCCAAGGACGUUUUCAUUAAUCAAGAACGAAAUGUUAGGGGAUCGAAGACGAUGCAGAUACCGUCGUAGUCUUAACCAUAAACUAUGCCGACUAGGGAUCGGAUGAUGUUAAUUUUUUCAAUGACUUCAUUCGGC